AAAAAAAAUCUAAGUAUCAAGCCAUAUGUUCACUUUUUCCACCUUGGAUAACUUUUUCUAUGGACUUCAAAUGAGACAAGUUCCUUCAUAAAAGUUGUAGCUCUUAAAAAUCCCUUCAAUUUAGUCAUUAAUUUGACCUCAUUUGGAUUUAGUAUGAAGGAGUUAUGCAUUUUAUAAGUUGAGGAAAAUCACUUGUUCAAUGGUAUUGGCCCAAAACGACCUAUAAUGUUUCCUCAUAUCACAUGCAUUUUCAAGUUGAAUUUGCA
rnacentral:lncRNA from 1 species